CCUGCCUAUGUCAAAGUUACUUAAACAUUGUAUAACUACUUAAUAUUAUAAGAAAUGUUGCCCCAGGCUAUUGUUUGAAUGACGUUUAAUUAGUUGGUAUUUAAUGUCAUAUUGAUUAGGAAGUCUUGUUUAGGAAAUAUUCAUCUGAACUCAGCAUGAGUUUGAUUUUCAUUUGGUUCUGGGGAUUGAACCCAGGACCUUGUCUCAGCUAAACAUGUUCUAGCAUUGAGAUACAACCAAGAAAUGAAUUUUUAAACAGGUCUGUUUCUUAAAUGAAUGUGAGAAAGAAGAAUACAGUAUACAGAGGUUAAUAAUGAAAGUUCAUGAAAGAAUUUAGAAAGUAAAAAUGAAACCAUAAUUAAAAGAAACUCAAAUUUUAUUCCUUGACUUAUACAGGAGCUUUUAAGGUCUCUAGUAGGUGGAUUCUUUUGGGGUCUCCCCACCUCCUUUUAAAGAUAUAAGAUCUAAUGGUCCUGAGUAAUUGGGAAGCUUAUCUUUCAGAUAUAAGAAGCUCUCUGGAUCUUGUGUACUAACCAAUCCUCUUAGGUUUAGGUGGACACAAUAUCUUUAUUUUACAUUUAUGUGGUGCUGAGGAUCUAACCCAGUGCUUUGGGCAUGCUAGGCGAGCAUUCUACCACCGAGCCACGACCCCAGCCCUUGACUUGUUUUUUAAAAGUCACCAUUGAUGUCACUAAAAAUUUCUUGUGUAAGACUAGGGGUGGGGGGGACAAAAACAAAAAGACUCUAGGGAAUUUUUAAACUAAUAUGCAAGUACUGGUUUGAAAGAUCAUCUCAGUAUGGCAAUAUGUAAAUCAAUGGAUGUGUAACUGAUGUGAUUCUGCAAUCUGUAUAUGGGGUAAAAAUGGGAGUUCAUAACCCACUUGAAUCAAAGUGUGAAAUAUGAUAUAUCAAGAAAUAUGUAAUGUUUUGAACAACCAACAAUAAAAAAUUAAAAAAAAAAAAAAAA